UUCGUUGUGGUUAAAAAAAAAAAGGAAAAUUCGUGGACCACAUACUCUCUCUCUCUCUCUCUCGGAUUCUUUUCUCUGCAACGACUCUGGAAAUUUUCUCUCCCAUUCUCUUCAAACUUUCUCUCCUCCAAACAUCGAAAAUGCAGCAGUUUCCUCCAAACUUUCUCUCCUCCUUUGUUUCUCUACUGUGUAGUAGACUAGCAGUAGAGGCGUGUACAAGAGCUUGAGGCAUUCACAAGUUUCGAGAUCAUUUGGUUUGAUCGUCUGGAUCUCAGCUUGGUGUGGUGAUUAGCUAUUUCACCAUUCUUCCGCUUUAGGUACCAUAGAAAGACGUCUCAGAUUGUCAACAGUGGUGGCGGAUCAAGCAGAAGAAGUGCUCUACUCUUCCGACCAGAGAGAACGGUCCCAACUCUUGCAACAUUUAUGUCUGAUUCACCUGUCAGAUCCUCGAGCAAUGGCAGGCUUUGAUGGUUUUUUUUACCAAGAUGACCAUGUUUGGUCUCUGCUUCUGAGUUUUCUUUGUUUAAUGUUUGGUAACUAAUGAGGAUUAUUAGAUUUUCUCUUGUAAGAAGGUGUUUUAGAGUGUUUGUUUGCUUUUUUUAUUUUUAUUUUUUUAAAUUAAA